rnacentral:rRNA from 1 species
GCGUGGAGACAGGUGGUGCAUGGCUGUCGUCAGCUCGUGUCGUGAGAUGUUGGGUUAAGUCCCGCAACGAGCGCAACCCUCACCCCUUGUUACCAUCAGGUCAUGCUGGGCACUCUAGGGGAACUGCCCCGGUCAACGGGGAGGUAGGCGGGGAUGACGUCAAGUCAUCAUGCCCCUUACGUCCUGGGCUACACACGUGCUACAAUGGCCGGUACAAAGGGAUGCAACGCCGCGAGGCAGAGCCAAACCCAAAAAGCCGGUCUAAGUUCAGAUUGGAGUCUGCAACUCGACUCCAUGAAGGAGGAAUCGCUAGUAAUCGCGUAUCAGCACGACGCGGUGAGUACGUUCCCGGGCCUUGUACACACCGCCCGUCACACCACGAAAGCCAGCUGUACUCGAAGUCGCUGAG